CGCUAGCUACAGGCUUAACACAUGCAAGUCGAGGGGUAGCAGGGUAGCAAUACCGCUGACGACCGGCGCACGGGUGAGUAACACGUAUCCAACCUUCCCAUUACUCGGGGAUAGCCUUUCGAAAGAAAGAUUAAUACCCGAUAGUACUUAAUUAUGGCAUCAUGAUUAAUUAAAGAUUUAUUGGUAAUGGAUGGGGAUGCGUUCCAUUAGAUUGUUGGUGAGGUAACGGCUCACCAAGUCUUCGAUGGAUAGGGGUUCUGAGAGGAAGGUCCCCCACAUUGGUACUGAGACACGGACCAAACUCCUACGGGAGGCAGCAGUGAGGAAUAUUGGUCAAUGGGCGAGAGCCUGAACCAGCCAAGUAGCGUGAAGGAUGACGG
rnacentral:rRNA from 1 species